UUUUGCACGGAAACAACCUGCUUGUGUUUGGCGGGACCGGAAUCCCGUUUGGGGAAAACAAUGGAAAUGAUGUUCACGUCUGCAACGUUAACUACAAACGCUGGUCUCUCCUCAACUGCAGGGGCAAGAAACCCAAUCGAAUAUAUGGACAGGCGAUGGCCAUAAUCAACGGCUUCCUAUAUGUAUUUGGAGGUACGACAGGCUACAUCUACAGCACAGAUCUUCACAGACUGGAUCUGACAACACGUGAGUGGAUUCAUCUGAAACCCAACAACCCUCCAGACGACCUGCCGGAGGAGCGAUAUAGGCAUGAGAUAGCCCAUGAUGGA